rnacentral:rRNA from 1 species
ACUCCUACGGGAGGCAGCAGUGGGGAAUUUUGGACAAUGGGGGCAACCCUGAUCCAGCCAUGCCGCGUGCGGGAAGAAGGCCUUCGGGUUGUAAACCGCUUUUAGUCGGGAAGAAAAGAUCACUCUUAAUACGGGUGGUUCUUGACGGUACCGGCGGAAUAAGCACCGGCUAACUACGUGCCAGCAGCCGCGGUAAUACGUAGGGUGCGAGCGUUAAUCGGAAUUACUGGGCGUAAAGCGUGCGCAGGCGGUUCGUUAAGUUUGUCGUGAAAGCCCCGGGCUCAACCUGGGAAUGGCGAUGGAAACUGGCGGGCUUGAGUAUGGCAGGGGGGGGUGGAAUUCCGCGUGUAGCAGUGAAAUGCGUAGAGAUGCGGAGGAACACCGAUGGCGAAGGCAGCCCCCUGGGCCAAUACUGACGCUCAGGCACGAAAGCGUGGGGAGCAAACAGGAUUAGAUACCCUGGUAGUCCACGCCCUAAACGAUGCUCACUAGGUGUUGGGGAAGCGAUUCCUUGGUACCGUAGCUAACGCGUGAAGUGAGCCGCCUGGGG